GACGAACGCUGGCGGCGUGCUUAACACAUGCAAGUCGAACGGAAAGGCCCUGCUUUUGUGGGGUGCUCGAGUGGCGAACGGGUGAGUAACACGUGAGUAUACUGUCCUUGACUUUGGGAUAACUUCAGGAAACUGGGGCUAAUACCGGAUAGGAGCUACUGCUGCAUGGUGGGGGUUGGAAAGUUUCGGCGGUUGGGGAUGGAAUCGCGGCUUAUCAGCUUGUUGGUGGGGUAGUGGCUGACCAAGGCUUCGACGGGUAGCCGGCCUGAGAGGGUGACCGGCCACAAUGGGACUGAGAUACGGCCCAGACUCCUACGGGAGGCAGCAGUGGGGAAUAUUGCACAAUGGGCGGAAGCCUGAUGCAGAGACGCCGCGUGCGGGAUGACGGCCUUCGGGUUGUAAACCGCUUUCGCCUGAGACGAAGCGUGAGUGACGGUAAUGGGUAAAGAAGCACCGGCUAACUACGUG
rnacentral:rRNA from 1 species